GUGGCAAUAUUGGAAUAAUUAGUUACUAGUAAUAUUGUAAGCUCCUUUGAUUGCUUGCGUGUUUUUACAUUUUAUAUAAUUACAAUAGACCACUUUCGAGUUCAUCCGUCACCGGAAAAAAACUUGUCAAUUAUGCGCGCCUUUAUGACGUCAUUUACCAUAUAGAUCGCCUGUAUUGCUGCACUAUUAACGUUCAUCCAGCGUCUUAGUGAUCGUCAUUGUGCAGGAUAAACUAGAAAUAAUGUCUGUUUUUGUAAGUACUUAAAAACAAUUUUCUAAUGACAGCAGUGCUGAAUGUCAACUAUUAGAAUUUAAUUUGCCGAAUAAUUCGUGCAAAAUAACAUUAUAGUUUUCCUGGCCACUCGCUCAACAUUGGAACGGAAGUAAUGAUGCACCUACAUGCAGUAAUGGUGUUCACAUAAACCAGAGCUUUUGAAAUGCAAAGUUGUCUAUUGUGUCAAAAGAACAUACUAAAGUCACUCCUUUUCGAAACCACUUAUUCAUAGUUAAAAGUAAGACUGUUUUUGAAAUUGGUUAUAUUGCAACUCUUAUUUCAAGAAAGUACCAUUUGUUAAGUCAGUUUAUUGUUAAGUAAAUACUGAACUCACAUUUAAUACAUUGUCCAGAAUUCCUACUUUCCUCGAAGGUAACUAUCAG
rnacentral:lncRNA from 1 species